rnacentral:rRNA from 1 species
CGUUUACCGUGAAAAAAUUAGAGUGUUCAAAGCAGGCAGAUCCAAUUUUCUGCCACCGAAUACAUUAGCAUGGGAUAAUGGAAUAGGACCCUGUCCUCCUAUUUUCAGUUGGUUUUGGCAGCGCGAGGACUAGGGUAAUGAUUAAUAGGGAUAGUUGGGGGCAUUAAUAUUUAAUUGUCAGAGGUGAAAUUCUUGGAUUUAUGAAAGAUUAACUUCUGCGAAAGCAUCUGCCAAGGAUGUUUUCAUUAAUCAAGAACGAAAGUUAGGGGAUCGAAGACGAUCAGAUACCGUCGUAGUCUUAACCAUAAACGAUGCCGACCAGCGAUUAGGAGACGUUGAAUACAAAACACCACCAUCGGAUGCGGUCGUGCCUUGGCGUCGUCUUUCGGGGCCGAACGCGGGGCGCUAGCCCGUGCCCCCG